AUACUUUCAGUUAUUGAACAUGAGGGUCUGCCUAUGUAGCUGUGUGGUUAGGCGGUUCGAUCGUCAUUUUUGUCGUUGAUAUGCUUGGUGGCAUUCUUACUGUUGUUGUGGUAGAACUUUUAGGAGGAUUUCUGCCGAAGAAAAUUCGAGUACUCGACAAGCUCGACCAAUAAUACUCAUGCUAAGAGGGAUGCUAACACCAUGAUGCUGAAUUUGAUGACUGAAACUAUUUUCUAACUCCAAAAUAAUCCACCACCAAAGUCAAGCACAUGUUUAUCAUGAUACGAUACUAUGUUAUGUAAUUUGAUGACUGAAACCGUGCUACAAAUAAUGUAGAAAAAAUUAUGUUAUAAUACUAUUAUAUAUGCUCCAUUUUGUCUUCAAAUUUUUGUUUCAUUAUGUCUAAUCAUCCUCAUAGGUGGUAUAUCAAAUACAAUUUUGAUAUAUUCUUGGUAAGUAUGGACAUCACUUUAUAUCAGUUUGAUAUUUAUAUUUAUGAUCAUUUCAUUUAAAAAGUUAAGUGAACAUCACUUUCUUAAUACUCAUGAAAUGGUUGUAUCUUUAAUGUCAGUUUGAUUUUUCAACUUAUGGGAAAAAAAAAGACCAAAUAAUUUAAACUUAUGAUAGGCUUCCGUGUAUGUAGUAUUGUUUCUGAUAUGCUUAUGAUAGGCUUCCAUAAUAAUUUAGACUUAGUAUGUAGUAUUAGUAAGUAAACACACAUUAAUGACUUUCUUAAACUUUAGUUCUUCAUCUCAAUUAUGCAUAAAUG